rnacentral:tRNA from 1 species
GGGAGCGGAUGGAGUACUGGUGUCUCCUGCGGUCUUCAAAACCGACACGACGAUCCGCGAGGUCGUCGGCUGGGUUCGAUUCCCAGACGCUCCCGCCA